AGGCUCAUUUUGGUAGCCCCUGCACUAACAUUGGAAUGGCACAGAAUUCGCACAGCCCCUGCACAAGGAGGACACGCAUAUUUGUGAAGCAUUCCGUUUUUUU